AACUCAAAAAAUUCCAAUUUUCAUCAACCCAUACAAAUUGAUAGUAAAGUUAAUUUGGAAGAGGAAAUACUUAGGAUACCUGAGAAAUUUUUGUAAAAUAAAUUUGAGAGGGGAAUUUGUGUUACCAGAUUCAAAUAUAUUUUAAAGCAACUCUAACUAAAACAACAGAGUAUUGUUAUAAAUAGAUUAAUGAAACAGAAGGUACAUAAACAGGCUCAUGAAUAUAUGGGUAGUUAGCGACUUAAAAUUAGUAAGGCAGCCGGGCGCGGUGGCUCACGCCUGUAAUCCCAGCACUUUGGGAGGCUGAGGCGGGUGGAUCAUGAGGUCAGGAGAUCGAGACCAUCCUGGCUAACAAGGUGAAACCCCGUCUCUAC
rnacentral:lncRNA from 10 species